AAUGCUUCAAUUGUCUCACCUUGUUUCUGAUUUCGGGUGUGGAAUUCAUGUCUUUCCAUUGUUUUAUUAUGUUGUGGGUUGCCCAUCUCCCGAAAUUUCCGUUUCAGGCACUCAGGGUCUUCUCUGGACUCGGCUGGGACCAGAACGGCUCCAUUGUCUCCUGGCGCCCUAACUUCUGCCGCGUAGACAAAUGAACGCUCCCGCUCGAUGGCUUCUGCUCCUGCGAGAUUGAGGAGGAUAUAUGCCUUUGUCUUGGGAGGCUUGUCGGCGUGAGCAGCUUCGAUGAAGAUAUCAUAAUCCCUCUUAAACACGCGCCAACUCUCGGCGAUGUCUCCUUCAAAAACGAGCGGGUCCGGUCGGCGAAAUCCCUCUGCCAUGGCUCGUUAGCAACCGCUUUAAGUCGAUGUCCAACGCUCGACAAAAAACUUGCUGGAAAAUGCAAAAAAAAAAAACUCACAACAGGCAGGUCUGAAGAUCUUCUGACACCAUGUUGAAAUGAGUAUAUGAAGUUGUUUUGCAGUCAACAGAAGCUUUAUUUGAACUCAGGGCAGCAGCAUUACACUGUGAUCCACUGGGAUAAGGUAAGUAGAGCACUGGUAAGUACGGCAAGUGACUUAGGACACAUCUGAGAUGCAUUCAUCUGAAUGAUCUACAGUAACAAACACACAACUAUGCAGCGAUUUUUGAAAAGAAAAAACUGCAAUUUCAACAGGUCUGUGCGGCCUGAAUCAUAGCCAUGUUAGUAAGGUUUUUAAUAAAUCAAACCGUUUGUAAAUCCGUCAAGAAUUCAGCAAGUUAAGUGUAUUUUUGUUUGUGUAGUCGCUCACCUUCCAUCCACUACUAUAGAGCGCUCCAGAACAGUCCCCCUCGGUAAGAUGGCCGACCGGUGACGACGGCGGUGAAAGUCCCAUCAGCCAUCUAGCCUUUCUAUGUAUUCACCUUAUUUUGCAGCUUCGCCAGGGCGGCGCCACAUUACAGCAUUUUGUCCUGUGAUUUCCACUUCAGACCGGAGGUGCAGUUGUCAACAAAAGGAACGAGCGGUGUAAGCUAACCAGCUAGCGAUUUUAUUUCAUCAAGAUGUCGAGGCUGCCAUAAUAACUGGGCCAAGAGGAGAGAGUUUUUGAAACAAACCUGUUUUGAGCAUCAUGUGGAGAGAUGGGAGUGUUGUGGGGCUCCUUAUAAUCUACAUCCAAAGAUGAGGAGCACAUGCGGCUGUGGCUGAAAGCGCUAAACCUUAAGGGCCCACCGAAGCGCCCUUAUGUAUGUUCGUUUCAUUUUGUGGACAGAGAGCCGACAGAGGAGCACCCUUACCCCGAGAAAUGGCUCGGCUAUGAUGCUCCAGUAAAGAAGCCACGGCGGGCUUUGAAGAGGCUGUCAGAUAGGGAUAUGACACUCAGCAUCAAGGAUGCAGAGGAGAAGGAUGAGCACAUUCCCAUCAGUGGGAGGAUCUGUCUGUCUCUGAACACAGCUAUGCAGCAAGAUCAUCACUCCAUCUGAAGCCCUGACAUCUGACAUCUUUACAGUAUAACUGUAAUAAACCUAAACAUUUCUGA